CCUACGGGUGGCUGCAGUGGGGAAUCUUGGACAAUGGGCGCAAGCCUGAUCCAGCUAUUCCGCGUGUGUGAUGACGGCCCUCGGGUUGUAAACCACUGUAGUUAGGAACGAAAAGGAUCUUUCGUAUAAAUACCUCUCCUGACGGUACUCUACGAAUAAGCACCGGCUAACUACGUGCCAGCAGCCGCGGUAAUACGUAGGGUGCAAGCGUUAAUCGGAAUUACUGGGCGUAAAGCGUGUGCAGGCGGCUGAGUAAGACUGAUGUGAAAGCCCCGGGCUUAACCGGGGAACCGCAUAUGUGACUGCGUGGCUAGAGUGCGUAAGAGGGAAGUGGAAUUCCAGGUGUAGCAGUGAAAUGCGUAGAUAUGUGGAAGAACACCGAUGGCGAAGGCAGCUUUCUGGUAAGCAACUGACGCUGAUACACGAAAGCGUGGGGAGCAAACAGGAUUAGAUACCCCAGUAGUC
rnacentral:rRNA from 1 species